UUCACCUGGAGAGAAGAACCUCCAGAUACUGCCAGCUGCUGCACAGGAUCAAACGCCGAAGGGCGGGUUUUCGAGGUUUUUAACCCUAAGGUGAGCCGAGGGAACGGCAGAAAAAAGACCAAAUUCGGCGCUGCCCGGUGGCCAAAGCCAAGGCGCACCGCCCCCUGCGUUCGGAGUAGCGCUGUCCGCCGCGGGUGGCCAGGGAGGGGCGCGGGACCGAAGGGAGGGCCGCCGCCCCCCCCAUCGCCACCCGCGGGGAAGGCGCCCCGGGCGAGACCCGGCCCCAGCAGGUGCCCCGGGGAUCAGACGGGGCGCCUUGGGCCCGGCAGCGCGUCCGAUGGAAGCGUGGGCUGGCCAGGCCCCCCGACGGAAGAGAGCCCAGCUCGGCGCCCCGGCCCUCUCGCCACCCUAACGGUUUCUGCAGCGCCUGUUCCGGGUUGGGACGGGGCUGGACGGCUCGGCGUCAGCCACCUUCCUAGAGCUAGAUGGUUGUGUAUGUGAAUUCUGAAGAGUUAGUUGUGAAGCACUAAUUCAACUAAAUCAGAAUCAUUGAAGAUGGAGUAUCAUAAUUGAGAUGCCUAUGAUUCAUAGACCAAACUCAAGGACCUAGGCUACACAUGCACUGCAUAUACACUGUUUUAAAGAGGUCAGUCAGUAAUUGAUUUGCAUUGCAUUUUACUUUCUGUUAGCUGAAAAGUCCUUUUCUUAUUUCAUCCACUUGCUGCAUUUCUACUCAUCUUUAGGUCUAGAGCACGUAUAGAUUCCUUUCCAUUUAUUCCUUCUCAAAACUCUCCUAUUCCUCCCAUGGUCCUUUAUGCAUUUCUCAAGACAAGAGAUUUUUAUAUUAUAUUCAAACUAUUCAAACAUCCAUGUUACUAGACUGACAUCCUUGACAACAGGGGCUAUUUUUAUUCAUCAUUGAUUUUUCCCUUGCUACAUGUUGGAUAUUUGUUAUUUUGAAUUAAAAAUGAAGAAAUUCUCUUUUCACUGACAAUUUGCAUAGAUGUAUUUUAUCCUAAAACCACUGUCUUGUGGGUUUAGACUUCUCUACUUAAAUAAAAGUUUUACUUAUUUUAUUUUUUCUCACAAAUCAAGUUUUUUGGGAAUAUAUAGAGGCACAUAUACCUAGAUAUAUUAAAAUACCUCAUAUUAAUUAUUGGGGAAGAGAUGUUUGUCUACCUAAUGUGCAUUUUCUUCUUCUUAUGUACAAGUCAUAAACAAACGCCCUGUGUUUCCCAGUCUUCCUUGAGAUAAAGGCAACCAUGUUAGCCAGUUCUGAACUAUAAACAGUAAUUAUUGAGUAGGACUUCCAGGAAAACCCUUUAAAAGAAGUAGUAUAGAUUUAGCUGAUUUGAAAUUUUUCAUCCUUUUCUCUUCCCCUUAUUCUUAUCCAAACAUACAGAAACAAUGCUGUGAGGUGGAGCCAUCAUCUUGGGACCACAAGGUCAUGAGAACACUAGGAUGAUUGAGUAGGAAGAUACAAAAAGUCUGAUUGCAUCAUGGAGCUGCUGACCACUCCUGGAUUUUCUACUUCUAUAUUUCUUAUACAGUAAUAGACAAAAAUAGAAUCCUAAUUUAUUUAAGCUGCCCUUCCUUCCCUCCUUCUAUUUUUCCCUCCUUUCUUUUACUUUUCCUUCCUUCCUCUCUUUCUUCAUCCCUCCCUCUCUUCCUUCCUUCCUUUUGCCCUUCUCUUUCUCCUUAUUUUUUUCUCUUCCUCCUCUUUCUUCUUCUUUCUCUAUCAGGUUUAUGCAGUACAAUAAAAAUCCUGAUUGAUAGUUCUCUAGUCACAUCAAGACUAGAGUUAUUAGUUAACCUAUGUUAAUGUUAACUAAUGAUAACCUAUGGUGGUAUAGCAAAAAAUAAACUGAACAACUGGCCAUUACUUCAUUAUUUAUUUGAUCAAAAUAGAGAAUAAACAUAUAUUCUAUCUGGCUUCUACAUGCCUAAACAUAUAUAUAUAUGUACACACACACACACACACACACACACACAUGGGGCUUUCUAAAAUGAUGUAUACUGUAGCCUCCAAUGAUUGACAUUGAAAUUUCAGGUGAUUUUUACUUUAUGUUUUAUAAUUUUAUAUAUUGCUUGCAUUUCCUAAUAACUCUGGAUGUAUGAUCUUUAUAAUAUCAGUAAUAGUAAUAAUACUUUUUAAAAAACAACAUGCAAUGGUGAUAUAAGAAAAAUAAAACUCCUGACCUGUUAGAUAUCAAAUGUGCCAAAUUUGUGAUCUCACAACAUAGAAGAAUGAAGUUGGGAACCAAAAGAAGAAAUUAGGAAAGUUUUAUUGGAAAUAAGGGGAAGAAUAGCUCCUAGUUUUCUAGGAAGAGUCCCAAAUGGGUGGCCAUGAAGGCCUGUUGUCAGGGGAGUAAUUUGUACAGCAAAAUCAAAAUGUGAGUAGAACAUAGGUCAAACUACAAUCAACCUGUAAGAUUACAUAUACAAUAUAGCCAUUAGCUAGUAUCGAUCCAAUAGGGAAAUGAGUCACAAAACAAAGGUAUAUGGAAAGAAUAAAGGCAUUUUGGGGAAGGGAGGGGAGUAUGGUUCUGGAUGUUCUGGUCACCCACUUGAGGCUGAUACCUAUCUGGGCCCACUGGACCAGAUGGUGCUAAUUACAGUAUAAUCUUUAAUUACUGUUUAUCUCUAUGGAGCCAUGCAGACUUUUCCAUUCUGAGGCUUGGCUCUCUUCAGAUUUGCCUCCAGCUACAAUUCUGAUGUCUUUAUCUUUUGUGUUGACUUCCUUGAGGGCCCAAUCCCUCUCUGACUGUAUAUUAAUUUCCAUAUUUUAGCUGCCUAUAAUAAUAGUAAGAAUAUUAUAAAAACAACAUUUUCCCUAAGAAUGUUAUUUAAUUAAACAACACUUUGAGAGAACAAAACAAAGGACAAAUUUUAAGUCUUCAGAAAGAAUUUGAGUUCUUGAACAACUCUCUCUGGAAUCUAUGAGCAGCUAUGACAAGUCUUACUAGAUCUCUGCAAAGGCCACACAGCUGAGUUCAGUUUCCCAGCCAUCUCCAUCAAGGGACCACCAAGAAACUGAAGCCAUUUUGACUCUCCAGAGCAGUCUCUCUGCCAGCAAAAUACCAUCAAAUAUCUUUUGUCAACUCCAUAGGAAACAGAAUUACCCAGCUGAGUCCUGGCCUAUAACAUCCUGAUACAUAAUACAAGGACAUUUUUUAAGGCAAAAAUAAAAAGAAAUCCAUUUCUGAGGCUGACAUGUUAGGGUAGUUACCUCACAGGGUCCUGCCUGGGACCAAUGACUUGUUCGAUAGACCUCUUAAAAUCUUUCUACUGUUAAACAUAGGAAGCCACAAAAUUAUCAAUUUAUUUAAGAAGAAAGGUUGUGUUACUGAAGAAUAUAAAGUUUAUUAGAGUUUUAAAGAGAAAAUGCACUAAAACAUACAGUCAUCACUGAACAUCACCAGGGCUACUGCAUUGCAACUUUGGGUUUUAUAUGAAAGGAAUUUAUUGGAAUUAUACACAAAUUAUACACUUGGGGGGCACUCUGGGAAAAUGUAAUAAAAUGUGAGACAGUUGUCUCUCAAAACAUUUAUAAUCUAGCACUUAUAAUAUAGGCAAGUAAAUUCAGAGAGCAAGAUAGCUAAUCUGAUGUCUGUCUUAGAUCCAUGACUUGUGUGUACUUGUGUGUACAAUACAUGUACAAAAAGUGCCACAACAUUUCACUGUAGCCAUUGUGAGGUAGAAAUUUCCUGGAGAAGAUGAUAUCCAUUUGGUCCUUGGAAGUAGUCUUAUAGAAAUGCAACAAAGCAAAAUUCCUUCCCUCUUUCAAAGGAGUUCAUUGAAUGAAAAAAUUCUUUAUUAUGUACUUUGCAAUUAUUUCCCUACCUUAUUAUUUAAACAGAGUUUCUCUUAGAAGCAAAAUUUACGUUAUAUAAGGUACUACUGUAAUGCAAGAUAAAUACAUAGUUUCUUAAGAGGGUAUAAAGAUUUAAGUACUGUGAAAAAUAAAUUUAUAAAUUAACUUGAUCUAGAAUCUGUUGUGGAAUGUUACAUUUAUAAAUGAAAGAAGUGUGAGAUGAAAGACAGAUAAUAGGACCAGGAAUUUAGCUCAGUGGUUCCACCACCUGCCUUGCAAGCACAGGGUCCUGAGUUUGAUCUCCGGUACGAAAAAAAAAAAAAGACAGUUAGUAGGGAAAAGGAGGGGGAGAAAAAAAUUAGUGAUAGUCUAGGUAUGUUUCUGCUGCCAGUUUCUGGUUUCAGUCCAAUAUGGUGUGAGAGCUCACUUUGCAGGAUUUCCAUUUCUUUGAAUAUGUUAAAGUCUAUAUUAUUGCUACGGGUACUGUCUAUUUUGAAUUUAAAAAUAAAUAAAUUCCCAGAAUAAGAAAAUUUAUAAAGAUAGUAGCUCAGUGGUUGCCUGGACUUAGUGGGGAGGGAUUGGGAGAUGAUAGCUAGUGGGCAGAGUGUUUUGCUUUGGGAUAACAAAAAUGAUCUAAAUUUGAUUGUGGUUAUUGUUGCACACUCUGUCAAUAAACUGAAACUUACUGAAACAUAUAUUGUGAGUUUGUAAAUUGUAUAGUAUGUAAAUUUUAGUUCAAUAAAGCUGUUUUAAAAAAAUAAUAAAUGAGAAAUCUGAGAU
rnacentral:lncRNA from 1 species